AGGUGGUGAUGGGGAACAUUCUGUUGAAGAUCCUUUAACCUUUCCCAAGAUUCACUGAAGGACUCACCAUCAUAUUGCAUGAAAUCAAUUAUCUCUUUAGUUAACUU